rnacentral:rRNA from 1 species
AGAGUUGAUCAUGGCUCAGGAUGAACGCUAGCGACAGGCUAACACAUGCAAGUCGAGGGGCAGACAAUAAAAGUAGCAAUACGUUGGUGGCGACCGGCGCACGGGUGAGUAACGCGUAUGCAACCUACCUAUCAGAAGGGGAACUAACCGGCGAAAGUCGGACUAAUACCGCAUAAAACAGGGGCACCGCAUGGUGAUAUUUGUUAAAGAAAUUCGCUGAUAGAUGGGCAUGCGUUCCAUUAGGUAGUUGGUGAGGUAACGGCUCACCAAGCCGACGAUGGAUAGGGGAACUGAGAGGUUGGUCCCCCACACUGGUACUGAGACACGGACCAGACUCCUACGGGAGGCAGCAGUGAGGAAUAUUGGUCAAUGGGCGGGAGCCUGAACCAGCCAAGUCGCGUGAAGGAAGAAGGAUCUAUGGUUCGUAAACUUCUUUUGCAGGGGAAUAAAGUGCAGGACGUGUCCUGUUUUGUAUGUACCCUGAGAAUAAGGAUCGGCUAACUCCGUGCCAGCCGCUGC